ensembl:lncRNA LNCDAT lncRNA divergent activator of TBXT
AACAAUGGGCUCCCGCACGCCUGUUUCAUGUAAAUCCGGGGCCCCAGCCCUGCGAGCCCCGGCCCAGCCCCUACACCCCCGCCCUUCUCCAAAUGUUUGCACCUCCAUCAAAGCGGCGGGGCAAGCCCCGGAGGAAGGUAAGCUGGACGCCCCGGCCUGCCCCAGCCCGCCCCAGCCCGCCCCAGCCCGCACUUCCGCGAGGGGCUGCCCGGCAGCCUGCGAUGCUCCCUGAUUCCCGCGCGGGGUCCUCCUCGCUUUCCCAGCGCGCCCGGAUCCCGCAGCCGCGCCAGGCUGGAACGUUCGCGCGGCCUCACCUGUCCCCGCUCCAGGCGCGCCUCCCUCCCCUCCCAGGGACGAGCGCAUUUGGCCGGGCUUUGGGAUGCGCCGCGCUCGUCUCGCCGCAGUAGUAGUGCUGUUCUCGCGCCUCCGAUGCCUCAACUCUCCAGUCUGGCAGUUUCCGGUGCACCUGUCCCCACACGUCCCUCGCCCACGGAGCCCCAGGCGGCGUUACGCACACCCAGGAUCGUGGAUCAGCCUGCCCCGGCGUCGGGUGUCCCCGCGGCUCUCACCAUCUGGAAAAGGAAGGUCCGCGCGCAGAGAGGGAAAUGGACGGAAAUAAGCAAAAGCAAAACAACCCCUUCUGAGAAGUGUCCUCCUCGCUCUCUUAUAAAAACAGGACUUGUUGCCGAGGUCAGCGCGCGCAUCGAGUGUGCCAGGCGUGUGCGUGGUUUCUGCUGUGUCAUUGCUUUCACGGAAGGUGGGAGAAGGUCGGGGCUGGCGGGGUGGUCCGGACUAGUGGGACUCGGGGCGCUUUCCCCGCCCGGCCCAGCGCCAAGCGGUGUCGGCAGCGGUUGUUUUAUUACCUUUCGGUGAGAACUUACGCGAGGAGAGCGAAGGAGAGGUGACAAUGAGCAGGAAAUAGUUCAGUGGGGUCUCUUUAAACAGUAACAUUCCUCCUAAAACGGGAGCCCAGGAAGGGGGAAGGAGGCAGAAGCUCCCCCUUCCAAGGCCUGGCUUUGCGCUUCUGCACACCUCGCCCAUUCGCUGGACGAGGGCCUGCCUCGGGUAGCAGCCUCUGUUUCCCGGUCUCCUGAGCGGGCACCCCAGCCCCAACCCCUCUAGAGAAAGCCUGCGCAUCGGGUGGGGCAGCGAGUUCAGAGGAGUCUUGCGCCCUAGCAAGGGGGCUUUCCCGCGGACAUGGUAUCUGCGCCCCGCGCUAAGUCUCCCCUGCCCCCUGCCCCCUGCCCCUCGCCCCUCGCCCAGCCGGGCUCGCUCCGGGGUCGGGAAUUGCUGGGGAAGCCGAAGGAGGGAUCCCCGCCCGGGACUCGAGGGAUCGACCCGCCUCGCGGUAUGCGGAGGGCUGCCAGGAGCCAGUCCCGGGGAAGGGUGCCUGCCGCCCGUGGGGGACAGGGCUCCUUCUCUCCCUUCUCCAACUUACACCGACGAGUCAGGAAGCCGGAGCGUCUAGUCCCUGUCCGCAUUUCUCAGUGUCUUUUGAUGUCUGGGAUGCAUGGAUAUUCCCAGGGGGCUGACCCGAGGUGGGGAAGUUUCCUUCUAGAAAGAGGCACCAAAAGGACCUCAUUUGCUCCUGACGCCGGACCCUCCUGACACGCCUUCACUGGCUCAUCGGGUCCUGGGCUUUGGGGGAGAGCGUGGUGCGUGUUACUCUCCUUACUCCGGGUAUUAAAAUGUCUAAGAGGUCAUCGCUUUGGCCCAAGGCCUCCCGAGGAUAAGAUAAAAGGGAAAAGUGGAGGGGAGGUGAAGGAGGAACGAGGGUGGGUCCCAGGCAAUUGAGGGCCUCGGAACCCUAGGCACGGGAGCGAAACCUCUCCUGCGGCUUCAGGGCAAAGGAGUCCCGAAGGCUGGAUCCCUCCCCUGCGCUCGGACGGCGUCGCGGCCGCUUUUCCCACAGUCGGGAAGCGCCAAAGAAGACUGGAGGGUUUAACAGAUCGCUCUAAAACUGUUCCGAACAGGAGGGGCACGGCCAAAUAAGAAUACAACUUCAGCAGGAAAGAAUAUUCCGUUUCUAACACGCGUAAUAAAAUUUCUACUCUCCAGAGAGAAUGUCUGAAGCAUUGAAGAGUACGACCCAGGAAUUGAACCACCCAAGUCGGAGGAGGUAGAGGUUGGAAGUCACCGACUUUGGCCAGCACUUGUGUAGUGUCACCUGUCUUCACUUUCUAACGUUUAUUUUUCCUCCCCUUUCUGUGGCUGAUUUUCUGAUCUUUGUUCCUCGGUUCCCAGGACCAGGCCCACUCCCUCCGCCUUUUCAGCGAAGGCUGCAGUGCAUGACAGUUUACAGCCAAAACUUCCUCCAGCCCGGCUAUAAAGAAUUCCCAGUUAAUAACAAUGCGCUUCCUUGGGAGGAAAGAGGGGCUGAGGCACCGCCAGCUGUUUCGCUCCCAGGGUCUAUCUCUCCUUGGCAAGCCCAGCCAUUCAGAGAAAAACAAGACAAAGCCUUAUGGCUGGGCCUCAGGAUGCAACUGUCCCACCGAAAACAUGCUUGAAACAUUUUAUAAGAAAACACACACACACACCCCACUCGACUCCCAGAGAGGCAGUUUUCCUGGGCCCAAUCCCUUCUGAAAAAGCAAAGCCAUUUAUCUUUAGAAGCAGGCAACAAUGAAGCUGUAACAGGCUCAAGGAGGGGUGGAGGACAGCCUCGCGUGACUCUUACCCCACACUCUAGUCCCUCUCUUUCUGCAAGAAAAACAAAUGAAUUUCUUUUCUGAUUAUAUAUGUACUCCUUGUAGAAAUAUUAUAUAUGUAUCUGUCUUCAUAUAUAUGUAAAACAGUCACCCACAGUAUCUGUGGGGGAUUGGUUCCAGGACCUACAAAGAUGGCAGAAUCCAGGGAUGCCCUAGUCCCUUGGCAUGGUAUUUGCAUAUAACCUAUGGACUUCCUCCAUGAACUAUAAAUCACUUCUGGAUUACUUAUAAUACCUAAUACAAUGUAACACUAUGCAAAUAGUAGUUAUACUGUAUUGCUUUUUAUUUGUAUAAUUUUUAUUCUUUCAUUAUUGGGGAGAGGGAGUUUGGAAUGUUUUCUAUCAAUUCAACCAACCACGGAUAUGGAACCUGUGGCUAUGGAGGGCUGGCUGUAUGUUUAUCUCUCUCUAUGUAUAUAAAUGCUAACCUCAAGCACUAAGCAAUGUUCAUA